rnacentral:rRNA from 1 species
AGUCGAGCGAAUGGAUUAAGAGCUUGCUCUUAUGAAGUUAGCGGCGGACGGGUGAGUAACACGUGGGUAACCUGCCCAUAAGACUGGGAUAACUCCGGGAAACCGGGGCUAAUACCGGAUAACAUUUUGAACCGCAUGGUUCGAAAUUGAAAGGCGGCUUCGGCUGUCACUUAUGGAUGGACCCGCGUCGCAUUAGCUAGUUGGUGAGGUAACGGCUCACCAAGGCAACGAUGCGUAGCCGACCUGAGAGGGUGAUCGGCCACACUGGGACUGAGACACGGCCCAGACUCCUACGGGAGGCAGCAGUAGGGAAUCUUCCGCAAUGGACGAAAGUCUGACGGAGCAACGCCGCGUGAGUGAUGAAGGCUUUCGGGUCGUAAAACUCUGUUGUUAGGGAAGAACAAGUGCUAGUUGAAUAAGCUGGCACCUUGACGGUACCUAACCAGAAAGCCACGGCUAACUACGUGCCAGCAGCCGCGGUAAUACGUAGGUGGCAAGCGUUAUCCGGAAUUAUUGGGCGUAAAGCGCGCGCAGGUGGUUUCUUAAGUCUGAUGUGAAAGCCCACGGCUCAACCGUGGAGGGUCAUUGGAAACUGGGAGACUUGAGUGCAGAAGAGGAAAGUGGAAUUCCAUGUGUAGCGGUGAAAUGCGUAGAGAUAUGGAGGAACACCAGUGGCGAAGGCGACUUUCUGGUCUGUAACUGACACUGAGGCGCGAAAGCGUGGGGGAGCAAACAGGAUUAGAUACCCUGGUAGUCCACGCCGUAACGAUGAGUGCUAAGUGUUAGAGGGUUUCCGCCCUUUAGUGCUGAAGUUAACGCAUUAAGCACUCCGCCUGGGGAGUACGGCCGCAAGGCUGAAACUCAAAGGAAUUGACGGGGGCCCGCACAAGCGGUGGAGCAUG